ACAGAUAUUUACACAUAUGUACAGAUAUUUACACCAUUUGUGCAAACGGUGCACUAUUAUGAAAGGAUGUUGUAUUAUUUAGAUGUGUGUUGCACUCUUUCUUUUUGAAAAUUAAAUUUAUUAUAUAUCAAAUAAAGUUUCAAUUUUUUUGAAAAUUAUAACAGCUAACCCAUUAUUACGUGUACCUUUCUCGUGAAACGAGAAUGCUCAUUCAAGACAAAAUAAAAAGAAUAAAGUAUAAUUAAUAAGAUAAAAGAGUGCAACAUACUCUCAAAUAGUACAACAUACUCUUCCAAAUAGUACAAUAUUUGUAUAAGCAGUCCAACAUAUGUAUUAUUAAUACACAUUUUGAAUGAUUUUUAUACUAAAUUAUGAAUAAUAUAGUAUAUCAUGAGAAAAUAAUAUAAUAUAUUAUAAUAUACUAUAAAAUUAUACAAUAUAUGUGUAAACGGUGUAUAUUUUAUACUAUUUGUAUAAAUAUUUACACCAUUUAUAUAUAUAUACAUUGCACUAUUUGAGAGAAUGUUGCAUCAUUAAAGAUUUCAGAUAUUGCACUAUUUUGAAAAGCAUGUUGCACUAUUUGAAAGAAAAACAAUACUCUUUCAUCUUAUUAAUUAUAUAUUCUUUUUUAUUUUGUCUUGAAUUAUACUCUUAUAAAAAUUAUACUCUUUCAUUUUAUUUUAUACCUUUCUAGUUUCACGAGAAAGGUACAUAUAAUUAUGACUUAAAAGUUAUGAUUUUCAAGAAAUUUGACACUUUAUUUAAUAUGCAAUAAAAUUUAAUUUUCAAAAAGAAAAAGUGCAGCACACAUCUAAAUGGUGCAAUAUGUUCUCGUAAUAGUGCAACAUUUACACAAAUGGUGUAAAUAUCUGUACAAAUAGUGUAAAAUAUGCACCGUUUAUACAUAUAUUAUAUAUUUUUAAAAUAUAUUGUAAUAUAUUAUACUAUUUUCGCGUAAUAUACUAUGUUAUACGUAAUUUAGUGUAAAAAUAAUACAAAAUGUGUAUUAAUAAUGCAUAUGUUUCACUACUUAUACAGAUAUUACACUAUUUAGAAAAUGAUGUUGCACUAUUUGAGUGGAUGUUACACUCUUUCAUAUAAUUAAUUAAAUUUUAUUUUUUUUGUUUUGUCUUGAAUGAGAAUUCUCGUUUCACGAGAAUGAUAUAUGUAAUUAUGGCUUAAUAGUUGUAUAUUUUAUGUAUUUCGAAAGAUGGAUAGUUUGGUGAUCUUUCUGAAAAUUCGAUCCGAAUCUACAAAAUUCAAAAAAACGGCCUACUUAUGCAAAAACUCAAAACUAAUAGAUUUUUUAUGCAAAUUUGCCUAUAUUUAUUUAUAU
rnacentral:lncRNA from 1 species